GUCCUGUAUUUCGGUCUCGGAACUGCCGUAUGUCGUCACGGUAUAAGUUAACUGUGUAGUUCGUAUAUUUGCCUAGCCACAUGUUGUGAUUGAGGCUAUGUGAGGAUUGUAAGUUUAUCACCUAGUACUAUUUUAAGUAGAUGCAGUUAGUGAGUUAGGUUUUGUGCAUGCUCACAGGGUUUUGAAAGCAAACCAUGCCGUGAAGUAUGUGAAGCCUAUGGUUUGUGUCAUGUAUCUAACUAUCUCAGAGGUAGAAUACCUAAAAGUAGAUGUUGUACAAACUACAAAGUUGUGGUUUAUAGAAU